AAAACGGGAGGCUAGUUGGAAGAAAACCGUCGUUUUUGACGAUUGUUAGUCAGCUGAAAUUAUUGGGAUCACAUGUCGUUCUAGAAUUGGGCCUAUAGUAAAGAAAUCAAUUAUUUUGGAAACCAAAUGUGAAUGCUAGAAAAAUGGAUUUAUCUUUCAGGAAAAGCUGUAGACUUUAAGCAACAUAUGAUAUUAAAAAAAAAAAAAAAAAUUAAUUAUAUGCAGGUAGAUUUGGUCAAAUUUACAUGUUGAAUCUGCAUUUCCACCUCUCUCUAUAAAAUUGAAUUUCUGGGAUGCAAAAGAUAUAAAACUAGAGCAAUGGAUACCACCAGAAGGGCAAAGUUUAUGAUGGCGAUGCUAGUGGUCUUUCUAAUACUCGACUGCUUCCCUUCGGGUUAUGCAUCGGCCUCCUCUGCCACUCCAGGGACAAGCCGGGAGCGUAGUUCAUCAUGGUGCUAGAGAAGCAAAUCUAGAAAAUUAGUUAUGGAUUGCCGGAGGCAUUUCGUUUUUCUAAAGACCAGCACUGCCUCCGAAAGCCUUAGAGUGGUUGCCGGCGGGCACAACCUACCACCGCCUCCCCAGUCUUGAAGUUUCCAAGUUUAGUCUCUUUCUUUUCCUAAGCAAAGUUUAUGCGCCAAAAGAAUUUUUAUUGAUGUGUUGUGUAUUAAAAAACUAAAUUUCAUGAACAAAAAUAAAUAAAUAAUAAAAAUAUUGUGAUGAAGAAACAAGAGAGUGAAUUCAACUGCAAA